rnacentral:lncRNA from 1 species
AGGUACUUCCCUUUUAUUGUCUACAAUGAAAAGCAUACUACCUGGUGCCACAUCUACUAUAAGAAAUACUGUGGGGACAAUGUUUAAACACUCAAUGAACUUUGCACAGAAGUGUGACCAAAGUUAUAUUUAAAAUAAAUUAUAUAUUCAAUGUUUUACAUUUUAACCUAACUGUUUGGUUUUAUCAAAAUUUAUAAUCUAUAGUUAUAUCAUUUGCACAAAGAGCCACAUAGAACUGGACACAAGCUGUAGCAUAAUUUAUUGAAGUCUAAUAAAAAUAAGAAGAUGUGGUAUGAUUUCCAGUAAGACGAAUGACAAAGGUAUGAACAGCUUUAGGUCACCAAUUAGAGACCUAAAAAAACCAAAUAGACAAAGAAACAAAAAUAUCUGUAAGUGAUUAUGUUUGUUGUCUGGAUUAGUUAUACCACAUGUGGAGCAGGAUUUGCAUCCACCUUCCGGAGCACCCGAUAUCAACCCCAGGUUGUGUUGGGUUUCGUGUUGCUUUUGUACCCCUAUUUGUGACAUUUUUAUCUAGUGCGUCUGUUUUGUUUAC